UGGGGAAUUUUGGACAAUGGGCGAAAGUCUGAUCCAGCAAUGCCGCGUGUGUGAAGAAGGCCUUCGGGUUGUAAAGCACUUUUGUCCGGAAAGAAAUCCUUGGCUCUAAUACAGUCGGGGGAUGACGGUACCGGAAGAAUAAGCACCGGCUAACUACGUGCCGGCAGCCGCGGUAAUACGUAGGGUGCAAGCGUUAAUCGGAAUUACUGGGCGUAAAGCGUGCGCAGGCGGUUUGCUAAGACCGAUGUGAAAUCCCCGGGCUCAACCUGGGAACUGCAUUGGUGACUGGCAGGCUAGAGUAUGGCAGAGGGGGGUAGAAUUCCACGUGUAGCAGUGAAAUGCGUAGAGAUGUGGAGGAAUACCGAUGGCGAAGGCAGCCCCCUGGGCCAAUACUGACGCUCAUGCACGAAAGCGUGGGGAGCAAACAGGAUUAGAUACCCUGGUAGUCCACGCCCUAAACGAUGUCAACUAGUUGUUGGGGAUUCAUUUCCUUAGUAACGUAGCUAACGCGUGAAGUUGACCGCCUGGGGAGUACGGUCGCAAGAUUAAAACUCAAAUGAAUUGACGGGGU
rnacentral:rRNA from 1 species